CCGGUGUCCAGGUUUGAGGUUGUCUCUGAGCCUGCAGCCACAAUGCAAGUAUGUAACCAUGCUCACCUCCAGCCCUACACACACUCCCAAAAGUCCCAGGUUUGGGCCCCGACGACGCUUCAAACUGACUAACAGUACGGACUGAACAAAAAGCAAAAUACUUUGAAUACAACAGCUGUGUCAGGAAAAAGAAAAAUAUUAAAAUCUGAGGCGAUUAUAUAAUUUCUGCUUAAGAUUUCUGAGAUUUGGGGACGUGGGACACUAUCAAUACAUUUGCCUCAAAGCCUAUGUCGGGAGUCAUGGCUGUAUCCCCCAGGUGAGCCUCGGUUCCUGUGGGGUUUGUAAGUGUCCUGGUAUGUGUCAGGGUAAUCUUCUUCCACCAGAGGGUAGUGAUCUCGGCUGUGCUGUGAGCUGGAAGACAAGCGGUUCCUACUCUUACGAGCCCUCUCAUUGUGGUAAUUUUCAUCAGAGGUCAUUAGGCUUCGUCUUUCAAUGGGAGAGUUCUCUGUAGAAUGGUUGCUGUGCCUCAUUCGCUGACUCUAAAAAUAUCAGACAGUUCACUGGUUAGAUAAGGUACAUUUCAUUCACCGAAACACGUUAAUGCAUGUGCAGUAACAAGGUGUGUAAAACAGAAGGUGAAUAUCUGAUCUAAUAAAGCUUUUUGAUACAUAAAUGCUCUA